GAAAAGGUUUGGUUGUUUCAGGUGAACAGCGCGCGUUACAACAUGUUCGAACUGGUGCACGUGCAGUGGAGAGUUUAGCCAUAUAGCACAAGGAAAUAGAAAUAUAGCACAAAAUAGAAAACUAUUGUGAGUUAAACACCUAUUGAGUAUUUCUGUCAUCCGGAUGAUUGUGUAUUUGGCGGAUUUACGGUGGAUUGACAGCGAGUUUGCUUGGGAAACAUCUCGUGUGGUGUGGAAAAGCACGAAAUUGUUUCUCCAAGAAGCGUACGUGGUUAAAUGUAAACACUAUAAGAGACAGUUUUGACUCAGUUUGGUGUAUAAUUUUAUGUUCACCAGUGAUCUUGAGAUGCCGUUGUUUUGUUUAAUCCAGAGGGGAGAAAGUGCUUCGUAGGCCUUCUGUGUGUUUCUGGGAGAGCGGAGCACCAGACUUAAGUGUUGUUCACUCUUCGUAAUUUCACAAAAGAGAAGGAACGAGUCUGUCAUAUGCUGUGAUUGUGUGUGCAUGUGCCAGAGUUGGGAUAAAAAGGUCCGGGGUGAAGGCAUGGAAAAUGUGACAAUUGCAGAAACCAUGUUUCGUGUGAUAGGGAUCGGAAGAGGAAGCUUCAUUUCUGGGAAAAGCGUGCAUAAUCAGAGGUAAUAAGUUAGGAUGGCAAACUUUUUGUUUAAUUUAUAAUUGAUACAUUUUUUUAUUCUCUAGAAUCGAAUGCCUGUGGCGAAGCGUCUGGCUCGGCGUAACUCACCUGUAUUAAGAAAUACUUCAAAGCCUUGGGGAAGAUGGCAUGUUGGACUUGUCAGAUUCCCUUCAUGUGUUUUGUGCACAUUAUCUGUUCCUCCCACGUCUGAAGCGUGACCUCCACACUUUUUCUGAAGGCUGGGACAAUCAUCCGUUACGGUCUGAAAAUGGGCUCACCCCUAACCAGAUGUGGAUAAUGGGACAUGCUCAUCUGGUGAUGAUGAAGAGAAUUUCCAGAAUUUGGAACUGUGUGGAACAGACUAGGAAACGUUUGACAGCAUCACAGAAGAUGAUGUUGGAGUUCAUGUUCCAGAAAUUGACUGCCCACUCACUCGUGCUCUGAUGGAAACAGUAAAAUCCAUCUUUAAUCCUCUUGCAAUAUCUGACUGUUAUGGCAGACAUAUUUAUAUCUCUUUGGUUCAAUAUUUUGAAAGUCUUUAAAAUACACAAACGUGUGAAACCAUUGUAAACAUUUAUUUUACAAAUUGUGUACAUACUUUGACAAUUUCAACUAACACAGAGCAGCACAAUGAAUGAAUUGUAUGAGAAGUAAUUUGUAAAUGAAAAUCAGAACAGUUAAUGAUUUUGUAUUAUUUAACACAAACAUUCUUUGGACAAAUAUUGUUACCCAUAUGAGGAUGGGUUUCCCUUGAGCCUGGUUCCUCUCAAGGUUUCUUCUUGCCACUGCUGCCUGAGUCACCUCAGACUUGCUCAUUGGGGAUAAAUACAUACACAUUGUGAGCUAAAUCU